ACUGUACUGACUGAUGUGAAGACUCAUGAGGUUACCAUAGAAACAAACCUAGCAGACAUGCUAGAGUCAAGAUACGUGAUAAAAACUGAUGAGUCAGCAAAUAAUAAUAAAGAAACUAAGAGAGUUACAAGAGAAGGAGGGAAACUGUUGAAAAAAUUGCAGGAUAAGUUUGAUAGUGUAUGUGAGAGUUCACUGGAGGCUAUUGAUGCACUUGAAAGUAUUCAAAGAAUAA